rnacentral:lncRNA from 1 species
CUCCCGUGGGGGAAGGCAGGGUGCUGAUGCCUUCCCCGGCGGCAGAGAGCAGCUCUCCACCGUCUCUCUCCGCCAACCCCGCGCUUGGCCUGGCGCCCGGCCGCCUUUCACUGCCGCCUUUUCAUGCGCCUUAAUUCACUGGCGUUUCCUUUCUUGCUCCUUGCGAGGAACAGAGGGAGAGCUUGUUCCAGCAGACGGGCCCCAUCCGCUCCACCCACCCGGCUCUGCUGGAGCAAAAAGGGCUGGAAAAGAAGGAUGGAGGCGAAAGGGGUAUCUCCCACCCCUCCGGUGGCCCCGCCGUGCCGCCCCGCCGGCGUGCUGCUUCCCAGCAAAUACGGCUGUGCCAGCCCAGAGGACAAGGAGCUGUGUGGAGGCCUCCUCCUCAGCAGUGGAGCAAAGUGUUGCUGUAGCACCAACAGCACUUUGAAUUCAGGUCUGUACUCCACAUCUUCCUUUGCUACAUCUAAUGAAGGCUGCAGGCUGCCAGGCAGGGAGGAGGCACAGUAAAAAACAA